rnacentral:lncRNA from 1 species
AUAGCAACAGCAGCGUAGCUGAACAUCUUACGGAUGGCCCAGGGCUCCAAAGGCUCGUUUCCUAAGUGAGAGAGAGCCUGGCUGAAGCUGUAUUACCAUUCAUUCUCCAGCCUCCGAAGUCUCAAAGCAUCACUUCCACCAUACUCUAACUGUCAAGACAAACACAAAGGCCCAGAAACUGCCAGACUGUCUUCUGAAGUGGCUAUAAUAUUUACACUCCCAUCAGCAGUGUAGAAGGGGUCUCACUAUGUUGUCUGGAGUGCUGUGGUGGAGUGGAGUGGCUAUUCACAGAGCCUGUUCUGCUGGGACACAGAAUCACUUGCUCCAUCUCAUACAUUGAUGAUGAUUAAUUUGUAUGUGUACCUUCCAAAAAAGAUGGUUGUGUUUGAAUGGAGGCCUUCUGGACAGGAAAAUAUGGAGAGUGCGUGCUUUGGAUUCAAGACUGGGAAUGAGGGGACCAGAAACCUAUUCUGUGGCUGUUUCUUGUUAGGACUUUCCUAAGCCUCUGGAAAAGUGCAAAGUACAAUUAACAUUUGAGUCUGUCUGAGUCAUGAAGAAAUGGAGAUUACUGAAAAUAAUUCAUUUUGGUAUCUUCUUACAUCCUGAGAGACUAAUCUUUCCAAGUUCAUCUGAGGCUCCUCUUCUCCAUGACAACCUCAUCCAGGGAUUUCUUCCUGUCCUGGUGUUUUAUGACAUGUGGAAGGGGACUGUAGCAGGUGAUCUCCAAAGUCUCUGGAGACUUACUAAUGUGAAUCACAUCCUUCCUGAGAUAAUGAGCACACAAUUGCCUGGAUACCUGAAGGAAUGGAGACAGCGGCAGAAAACACUGCAGAGAGGUGGAAACAUCCGUUAAUAUUUUAAAAUCCCAUUACUGCUACCAACAAUAAUAAUGGAUGCAUAGAAAUAGAUCUGGAUUAGCUGAGCUUGAAACAGUCCAUCUCACACACACACAAAAGAAUUUCAGAUACAGUGAACCCACAUGUUGAAGCUUUCUAGUAUAAUAAAAAUUUCAACUGUUCUGUUGAAUCAUCUGCCUGAUUGGAGGCUACAGAAAAGAUGUCAUCUUAGGAGUGCUUGCUCUGAGUGAGGCUCAUCUUCAAAUCUGAAUGACCACAAGGAGAUUUGAUUAUACAUGUGAACACCUCAGAAGGCACAGCCCACCCAGAAGGCAGACAGGUCAGGCUGCUUUUUCUUCAUUGCUUGGAUUCAAUCCUCCGGGCGGCUCAGGCUCAAACAUAACUUAAGCAUGAUUAAACUUUAGAAGAAGCUGCCAGGAAGACUGUGAAAUCUUCAUGCCCAAGGAUCCCUAAAAUUAGGAGCAACAACCACUUGGCUCAGACGGUUUAUGGAGGCAAA